rnacentral:rRNA from 1 species
UACGUAGGGCGCAAGCGUUAUCCGGAAUUAUUGGGCGUAAAGAGCUCGUAGGUGGUUUGUCGCGUUGUUCGUGAAAACUCACAGCUUAACUGUGGGCGUGCGGGCGAUACGGGCAGACUUGAGUACUGCAGGGGAGACUGGAAUUCCUGGUGUAGCGGUGGAAUGCGCAGAUAUCAGGAGGAACACCGGUGGCGAAGGCGGGUCUCUGGGCAGUAACUGACGCUGAGGAGCGAAAGUGUGGGGAGCGAACAGG